rnacentral:rRNA from 1 species
UACGGAGGAUCCAAGCGUUAUCCGGAAUCAUUGGGUUUAAAGGGUCCGUAGGCGGUCUUUUAAGUCAGAGGUGAAAUCCUACAGCUCAACUGUAGAAUUGCCUUUGAUACUGAAGGACUUGAGUUAUUGUGAAGUAGUUAGAAUGUGUGGUGUAGCGGUGAAAUGCAUAGAGAUCACACAGAAUACCGAUUGCGAAGGCAGAUUACUAACAAUAUACUGACGCUGAGGGACGAAAGCGU